UCCGAUAUGGUCUAGUGGCUAGGAUUUGCCGCUCUCAUUCAGCAGAGUCAGUUCACUGUUCAAGUGCCGGCAAGGCCCGGGUUCGAUUCCCGGUGUCGGAA
rnacentral:tRNA from 1 species